rnacentral:rRNA from 1 species
UACGUAGGGGGCUAGCGUUGUCCGGAAUCAUUGGGCGUAAAGCGCGUGUAGGCGGUCCGGUAAGUCCGCUGUGAAAGUCGGGGGCUCAACCCUCGGAUGCCGGUGGAUACUGUCGGGCUUGAGUACGGAAGAGGCGAGUGGAAUUCCUGGUGUAGCGGUGAAAUGCGUAGAUAUGUGGAGGAAUACCGGUGGCGAAGGCGGCCUCCUGGUUCAAUACUGACGCUGAGGUGCGAAAGCGUGGGGAGCAAACAGG